ACGGGAGGCAGCAGUGGGGAAUAUUGCACAAUGGGGGAAACCCUGAUGCAGCAACGCCGCGUGAAGGAUGAAGGCCCUUGGGUCGUAAACUUCUGUUCUAAGGGAAGAUAAUGACGGUACCUUAGGAGCAAGUCCCGGCUAACUACGUGCCAGCAGCCGCGGUAAUACGUAGGGGGCAAGCGUUAUCCGGAAUUAUUGGGCGUAAAGAGUACGUAGGCGGUUAUCUAAGCAUGGGGUUUAAGGCACUGGCUUAACCAAUGUUCGCCCCAUGAACUGGACUACUUGAGUGCAGGAGAGGAAAGCGGAAUUCCUAGUGUAGCGGUGAAAUGCGUAGAUAUUAGGAGGAACACCAGUGGCGAAGGCGGCUUUCUGGACUGUAACUGACGCUGAGGUACGAAAGUGUGGGGAGCAAACAGGAUUAGAUACCCUGGUA
rnacentral:rRNA from 2 species